UACGGAGGGGGCUAGCGUUGUUCGGAAUUACUGGGCGUAAAGCGCGCGUAGGCAGACCUGCAAGUCGGGGUGAAAGCCCGAGGCUCAACCCUCGGAACUGCCUUCGAUACUGCGGUCGUCGAGUCCGGGAGAGGUGAGUGGAAUUCCUAGUGUAGAGGUGAAAUUCGUAGAUAUUAGGAAGAACACCAGUGGCGAAGGACGG
rnacentral:rRNA from 1 species